GAUGAACGCUGGCGGCGUGCCUAAUACAUGCAAGUCGAGCGAACGGACGAGGAGCUUGCUCUUCUGAUGUUAGCGGCGGACGGGUGAGUAACACGUGGAUAACCUACCUAUAAGACUGGGAUAACUUCGGGAAACCGGAGCCAAUACCGGAUAAUAUUUUCAACCGCAUGGUUCAAUAGUGAAAGACGGUUUUGCUGUCACUUAUAGAUGGAUCCACGCCGCAUUAGCUAGUUGGUAAGGUAACGGCUUACCAAGGCAACGAUGCGUAGCCGACCUGAGAGGGUGAUCGGCCACACUGGAACUGAGACACGGUCCAGACUCCUACGGGAGGCAGCAGUAGGGAAUCUUCCGCAAUGGGCGAAAGCCUGACGGAGCAACGCCGCGUGAGUGAUGAAGGUCUUCGGAUCGUAAAACUCUGUUAUUAGGGAAGAACAAAUGUGUAAGUAACUAUGCACGUCUUGACGGUACCUAAUCAGAAAGCCACGGCUAACUACGUG
rnacentral:rRNA from 1 species